GACGAACGCUGGCGGCGUGCCUAAUACAUGCAAGUAGAACGCACAGUUUAUACCGUAGCUUGCUACACCAUAGACUGUGAGUUGCGAACGGGUGAGUAACGCGUAGGUAACCUGCCUGGUAGCGGGGGAUAACUAUUGGAAACGAUAGCUAAUACCGCAUAAUAUUAAUUAUUGCAUGAUAAUUAAUUGAAAGGUGCAAUUGCACCACUACCAGAUGGACCUGCGUUGUAUUAGCUAGUAGGUGAGGUAACGGCUCACCUAGGCGACGAUACAUAGCCGACCGGCGAGGGUGAUCGGCCACACUGGGACUGAGACACGGCCCAGACUCCUACGGGAGGCAGCAGUAGGGAAUCUUCGGCAAUGGACGGAAGUCUGACCGAGCAACGCCGCGGGAGUGAAGAAGGGUUUCGGAUCGUAAAGCUCUGUUGUAAGAGAAGAACGGGUGUGAGAGUGGAAAGUGCACACUGUGACGGUAUCUUACCAGAAAGGGACGGCUAACUACGUG
rnacentral:rRNA from 1 species